rnacentral:rRNA from 1 species
GACGAACGCUAGCGGCGCGCUUAACACAUGCAAGUCGAGCGAGAACCAGGGCUUCGGCCCUGGGGACAGCGGCGAACGGGUGAGUAACACGUGGAUAACCUGCCCUCGGCACCGGGAUAGCCCGGGGAAACCCGGAUUAAUACCGGAUGGCCCUUCCGGCUCACGAGCCGGUCGGAAAAGGCAGCUUCGGCCUCCGGCCGAGGAUGGGUCCGCGGCGGAUUAGCUUGUUGGUGGGGUAACGGCCCACCAAGGCUCCGAUCCGUAGCUGGUCUGAGAGGACGAUCAGCCACACUGGGACUGAGACACAGCCCAGACUCCUACGGGAGGCAGCAGUGGGGAAUCUUGCGCAAUGGGCGAAAGCCUGACGCAGCGACGCCGCGUGAGGGAGGAAGGCCUUCGGGUUGUAAACCUCUUUCAGGAGGGACGAAGCUACUCGGGUGAAUAGCCCAGAGGGUGACGGUACCUCCAGAAGAAGCCCCGGCUAACUACGUGCCAGCAGCCGCGGUAACAC